AUGACCUGGGUGCCCUUCUACCUCCUGCCCCUCCUGUUCAACGCAGGUCUCUGUGCUGUGCCUGUGCUGAACCAGACCCCGUCUGCAUCUUCUCCCCUUGGAAGCUCGGCCAAGCUCACCAGCACCCUGAGCAGUGAACACACCACGUACUACAUUGCGUGGUAUCAACAGAGAGUAGGGCAGGCCCCUAGGUAUCUGAUGAAGCUGACCAGUGACGGAAGCGUCACCAAGGGGGAUUGGAUCCCCGACUGCUUCUCAGUCUCCAGCUCUGGGGCUGACCGCUACCUGACCAUCGCCAACAUCCAGUCUGUGGACGAGACUGAGUAUAUCUGUGGUGUCAACUAUAAAUCUGGUGGCCAAUAUGGAUACCACAGUGACACAGACAAAGAGGAAGACGUUCUAGGGACCGGCCAGCACAAUGUCCGCUGGGACAGCAGCAGGGAUGGGGAAUGGGGAUGCUGA